rnacentral:rRNA from 1 species
UACGGAGGGUGCGAGCGUUGUCCGGAAUCACUGGGCGUAAAGGCGCGUAGGCGGCCCUGGCAGUCGGUGGUGAAAGCCCGUGGCUCAACUCGGAGCCUGCACGAGAAACUGCCGGGCUUGAGUGUGGGAGAGGUGAGUGGAAUUCCUGGUGUAGCGGUGAAAUGCGUAGAUAUCAGGAGGAACACCUGCGGUGUAGACGGCUAUCUGGACGGUUACUGACGCUGAGGUGCGAAAGCGUGGGGAGCGAACAGG